AUACUGUGAAACUGCGAAUGGCUCAUUAAAUCAGUUAUCGUUUAUUUGAUAGUACCUUACUACUUGGAUAACCGUGGUAAUUCUAGAGCUAAUACAUGCUAAAAACCUCGACUUCGGAAGGGGUGUAUUUAUUAGAUAAAAAACCAAUGCCCUUCGGGGCUCCUUGGUGAUUCAUAAUAACUUAACGAAUCGCAUGGCCUUGUGCCGGCGAUGGUUCAUUCAAAUUUCUGCCCUAUCAACUUUCGAUGGUAGGAUAGUGGCCUACCAUGGUUUCAACGGGUAACGGGGAAUUAGGGUUCUAUUCCGGAGAGCGAGCCUGAGACACGGCUAGCACAUCCAAGGAAGGCAGCAGGCGCGCAAAUUACCCAAUCCCGACACGGGGAGGUAGUGACAAUAAAUACUGAUACAGGACUCUUUUGGGUCUUGUAAUUGGAAUGAGUACAAUUUAAAUCCCUUAACGAGGAACAAUUGGAGGGCAAGUCUGGUGCCAGCAGCCGCGGUAAUUCCAGCUCCAAUAGCGUAUAUUAAAGUUGUUGCAGUUAAAAAGCUCGUAGUUGAACCUUGGGCCUGGCUGGCCGGUCCGCCUCACCGCGUGCACUGGUCCGGCCGGGCCUUUCCUUCUGGGGAGCCGCAUGCCCUUCACUGGGUGUGUCGGGGAACCAGGACUUUUACUUUGAAAAAAUUAGAGUGUUCAAAGCAGGCCUAUGCUCGAAUACAUUAGCAUGGAAUAAUAGAAUAGGACGUGUGGUUCUAUUUUGUUGGUUUCUAGGACCGCCGUAAUGAUCAAUAGGGAUAGUCGGGGGCAUCAGUAUUCAAUUGUCAGAGGUGAAAUUCUUGGAUUUAUUGAAGACUAACUACUGCGAAAGCAUUUGCCAAGGAUGUUUUCAUUAAUCAGUGAACGAAAGUUAGGGGAUCGAAGACGAUCAGAUACCGUCGUAGUCUUAACCAUAAACUAUGCCGACUAGGGNNNNNNNNNNNNUACUUUUUUGACUCGCUCGGCA
rnacentral:rRNA from 1 species